CCUACGGGAGGCUGCAGUGGGGAAUAUUGGACAAUGGGCGAAAGCCUGAUCCAGCCAUGCCGCGUGUGUGAAGAAGGCCUUCGGGUUGUAAAGCACUUUCAGUGGGGAAGAAAGCCUUGGGGCUAAUACCCUCGAGGAAGGACAUCACCCACAGAAGAAGCACCGGCUAACUCCGUGCCAGCAGCCGCGGUAAUACGGAGGGUGCGAGCGUUAAUCGGAAUUACUGGGCGUAAAGCGCGCGUAGGCGGUCUGAUAAGCCGGUUGUGAAAGCCCCGGGCUCAACCUGGGAACGGCAUCCGGAACUGUCAGGCUAGAGUGCAGGAGAGGAAGGUAGAAUUCCCGGUGUAGCGGUGAAAUGCGUAGAGAUCGGGAGGAAUACCAGUGGCGAAGGCGGCCUUCUGGACUGACACUGACGCUGAGGUGCGAAAGCGUGGGUAGCAAACAGGAUUAGAUCCCCCUGUAGUC
rnacentral:rRNA from 1 species